UCGGAUUAGGUGUUAUACUUGGGU
rnacentral:misc_RNA from 1 species